UACGAAGGGUGCAAGCGUUACUCGGAAUUACUGGGCGUAAAGCGUGCGUAGGUGGUUUGUUAAGUCUGAUGUGAAAGCCCUGGGCUCAACCUGGGAAUUGCAUUGGAUACUGGCAGGCUAGAGUGCGGUAGAGGAUGGCGGAAUUCCCGGUGUAGCAGUGAAAUGCGUAGAUAUCCGGAAGAACACCGAUGGCGAAGGCAACCACCUGGGCCUGCAUUGACGCUGAGGUACGAAAGCGUGGGGGAGCAAACAGG
rnacentral:rRNA from 1 species